GACGAACGCUGGCGGCGUGCUUAACACAUGCAAGUCGAACGGAAAGGCCCUGCUUUUGUGGGGUGCUCGAGUGGCGAACGGGUGAGUAACACGUGAGUAACCUGCCCUUGACUUUGGGAUAACUUCAGGAAGCUGGGGCUAAUACCGUAUAGGAGCUCCUGCUGCAUGGUGGGGGUUGGAAAGUUUCGGCGGUUGGGGAUGGACUCGCGGCUUAUCAGCUUGUUGGUGGGGUAGUGGCUUACCAAGGCUUUGACGGGUAGCCGGCCGGGGAGGGUGACCGGCCACAUUGGGACUGAGAGACGGCCCAGACUCCUACGGGAGGCAACAGUGGGGAAUAUUGCACAGUGGGCGGGAGCCUGAUGCAGCAACGCCGCGGGCGGGAUGACGGCCUUCGGGUUGUAAACCGCUUUCGCCUGUGACGAAGCGUGAGUGACGGUAAUGGGUAAAGAAGCACCGGCUAACUACGUG
rnacentral:rRNA from 1 species